AUUGAAAUAAAUAGAGCAUGGAGUUUUACAUAUUAUAUAAAUUGAUAAUACAAUUUUCUACUUACUACAUGCAAAUGAAAAAAUGGCUAUAAUUCUUGAGUUUAUUUAUAUUGUGGUCCUCUUUUUUUCUCCAUGUCUCCUUGUAACCGAUGCCUAUAAUAUUACUUGUAAUUCUGCCCUUGAUUGUGCAAGUAAUCGAUGUAUUUUACCUGGAAUGCCGAUAUGCGUAACAAAUAAAUGUUUAUGUGUUUAGCAGGACAAUCUUGCAGAGCAACAUAAGAUGAAUGCUUGAGCCACAAAAACCUUUUUUCUAGUAUAUUGUCAAAUAUAAACAAAACAAUGUUAUUUCACUAUAUGUACCUUUAUAAUAUAAAUGCAUGUAUUGUAUUCUUAGAUUAUAUAAAAUAAUGUCACCACCAAAAACAAAUGUCAUCGCCACAAAAAAAAAAUACAUAUUAUAUAAAUAAUGUGAUUACACUAA